rnacentral:rRNA from 1 species
AGCGAACGCUGGCGGCAGGCCUAACACAUGCAAGUCGAACGGACCCUUCGGGGUUAGUGGCGGACGGGUGAGUAACACGUGGGAACGUGCCUUUAGGUUCGGAAUAGCUCCUGGAAACGGGUGGUAAUGCCGAAUGUGCCCUUCGGGGGAAAGAUUUAUCGCCUUUAGAGCGGCCCGCGUCUGAUUAGCUUGUUGGUGGGGUAAUGGCCCACCAAGGCUACGAUCAGUAGCUGGUCUGAGAGGAUGACCAGCCACAUUGGGACUGAGACACGGCCCAAACUCCUACGGGAGGCAGCAGUGGGGAAUCUUGCGCAAUGGGCGAAAGCCUGACGCAGCCAUGCCGCGUGUAUGAUGAAGGUCUUAGGAUUGUAAAAUACUUUCACCGGUGAAGAUAAUGACUGUAGCCGGAGAAGAAGCCCCGGCUAACUUCGUGCCAGCAGCCGCGGUAAUACGAAGGGGGCUAGCGUUGCUCGGAAUUACUGGGCGUAAGGGAGCGUAGGCGGACAUUUAAGUC